rnacentral:rRNA from 1 species
AUUGAACGCUGGCGGCAGGCCUAACACAUGCAAGUCGAGCGGAUGAAGGGAGCUUGCUCCUGGAUUCAGCGGCGGACGGGUGAGUAAUGCCUAUGAAUCUGCCCCGUAGUGCGGUAUAACGUCCGCAAACGGGCGCUAAUACCGCAUACGUCCUGCGGCAGCAAGUGGGGGAUCUUCGGACCUCACGCUAUCAGAUGAGCCUAGGGCGGAUUAGCUAGCUGGUUGGGUAAAGGCCUACCCAGGCGACGAUGCGUAACUGGUCUGAGAGGAUGAUCAGUCACACUGGAAGUGAGACACGGUCCAGACUGCUACGGGAGGGAGCAGUGGGGAAUAGUGGACAAAGGGCGAAAGCCUGAGCCAGACAUGCCGAGUGUGUAUAGAGGGUCGUCGGAUGGUGAAGCACGUUAAGUGGGGAGGAAGGGCAGUAAGUUAAUACCUAGCUGUUUGGACGUUAACAACAGAAUGAGCAACGGCUAAAUUCGUG